rnacentral:rRNA from 1 species
GAACGGGGAUGCUUAUGGAAGGAGUGCUUGCACUUUGGAAAUGAGUAUCUUAGUGGCGGACGGGUGAGUAACGCGUGGGUAACCUGCCCCAUACCGGGGGAUACCACCUGGAAACAGGUGCUAAUACCGCAUAAGCGCACGGGAGCGCAUGCUCCUGUGUGAAAAACUCUGGUGGUAUGGGAUGGACCCGCGUCUGAUUAGCCAGUUGGCAGGGUAACGGCCUACCAAAGCGACGAUCAGUAGCCGGCCUGAGAGGGUGGACGGCCACAUUGGGACUGAGACACGGCCCAAACUCCUACGGGAGGCAGCAGUGGGGAAUAUUGCACAAUGGGGGAAACCCUGAUGCAGCGACGCCGCGUGAGUGAAGAAGUAUUUCGGUAUGUAAAGCUCUAUCAUCAGGAACGAGAACAAGACGGUACCUGACUA